CGUUCACGCCGCGUGAGGGAUGAAGGCCUCUGGGCUGUAAACCUCUUUUAUCAAGGAAGAAGAUUGACGGUACUUGAUGAAUAAGCCACGGCUAAUUCCGUGCCAGCAGCCGCGGUAAUACGGGAGUGGCAAGCGUUAUCCGGAAUUAUUGGGCGUAAAGCGUCCGCAGGCGGUUUUGUAAGUCUGUCGUUAAAGCGUGGAGCUUAACUCCAUUUAGGCGGUGGAAACUACAAGACUAGAGUGUGGUAGGGGCAGAGGGAAUUCCCGGUGUAGCGGUGAAAUGCGUAGAUAUCGGGAAGAACACCAGUGGCGAAGGCGCUCUGCUGGGCCAUAACUGACGCUCAUGGACGAAAGCCAGGGGAGCGAAAGGGAUUAGAUACCCCUGUAGUCCUGGCCGUAAACGAUGAACACUAGGUGUCGGGGGAAUCGACCCUCUCGGUGUCGUAGCCAACGCGUUCAAGUGUUCCAGCCUGGAGGAGUACGCACGCAAGUGUGAAACUCAAAGGAAUUGACGGGGGCCCGCACAAGCGGUGGAGUAUGUGGUUUAAUUCGAUGCAACGCGAAGAACCUUACCAGGGUUUGACAUCCUGCGAAUCUCUUGGCAACGA
rnacentral:rRNA from 1 species